CAGUAGCCGCGGUAAUACGUAGGUGGCGAGCGUUGUCCGGAUUUAUUGGGCGUAAAGGGAGUGUAGGCGGUCUUUUAAGUCUGAUGUGAAAGCCCACGGCUCAACCGUGGAGGGUCAUUGGAAACUGGGAGACUUGAGUGCAGAAGAGGAGAGCGGAAUUCCAUGUGUAGCGGUGAAAUGCGUAGAUAUAUGGAGGAACACCAGUGGCGAAGGCGGCUCUCUGGUCUGUAACUGACGCUGAGGCUCGAAAGCGUGGGGAGCAAACAGGAUUAGAUACCCCAGUAGUCCCUGUCUCUUAUAA
rnacentral:rRNA from 1 species